rnacentral:lncRNA from 1 species
UAGGUACCCUCCUGCUGGCUCAUCUUCCUCUUCUGCCUGCACUCUGAACGGAUGAUCCUGGCCAACCACAGAGAGUGGCCACUGAGAAGGUGUGUGGUGACAAUCUCCAAGAAACCUUUCUGAGAGCUUUCUUGAGCUUGUGCAUGGCAGAGCUUGGUCACAAGAGCACCUUACUGUACAGAAUGGAUGCAUCCUGGACAAGUUUCUUGCAAAUCAAAUUUUCACAUAUCAAAGACUAUUUUCCAUUUAACUUUUAACAUAUAAUUGGAGAUGUGUUUCUCCAAGGGCAAAAAAAUGGGGCCCUGAGACUUAAUAAAAAUCAUAUUUAUGAAUGCAAUGCAGCAACACACUUGAAAAUCACAAAUGUGAAUGGAAAAAAUGAAAAUUUUCUUAUAAAAUAUUAACAAUGCCCCCAAAUGAGUCGCAAGAUCUGAAUAAAAAAUAGCUAACGUUAUUUUGAUGUUUGGCACAAUAGCUUAAAGGCCUAAAAGAAAAACAAUUACAGCUUAACCGAACAGAACACACUGGACUGAAAAGUUGCCCAGUUUCUAUAAAACUGCCUUUCUAAUGUUCUACAGCAGGAGAUCUUGCAAUAUUCUUUGGCUGCUCAAAUCCUGAGCUUUAGCACUCUGGAGAAGCUGCUGGGUUUAAGAAACAAACAGGUUAAUCCAGACCAGAGAACAGACCAGGAAGCACAGACAUGACACUGCUUUAAAAUGCCCCAGGAAAUGAGUUAAUUGGGAGCAAGAGGGUAUGGGAAGACUUUCUGGUAAUACAAGAUUCAGAAGACUUGAAACUUCUGUAAAAUGAGUCUCUGGGUAACAUAUAAUGAAUCAGUUCCCCAAUUUCUAAAUGUUGCUUCGGCUAGUGUCUUUUUUUUUUUUUUUUUUUUUUUGACAGGGUCUCGCUUUGUCACCCAGGUUGGAGUGCAUUGAUACAAUCACAGCUCUCUAUAGCCUUAACCUUCCUGGCUCAAGCAAUCCUCCCGCCUCAGCCUUCCCAGCAGCUGGGACUACAAGCAUGCACCACCAGACCAGGCUAAUUUUUUGUUAUUAUUGUAGAGAUGGGAGUCUCAUUAUGUUUCCCAGGCUGGUCUCAAACUCCUGGGCUCAAGCCAUCCUCCUGCCUUGGUCUCCCAAAGUGCUGGGAUUACAGGAGUAAGCCACCAUGCCCUGCUGCUAGUGUCUUUCUAUAGUCUCCAAACAAUGAAAACUCCCAUGAAAGGGUUUCUAGCUGUGGUAUUUCCCCAAAGUGUGUUCCAGGGAACACUAGUCUUCAUAAGAGGGAUCCAUGGGCAAAAACGUUUGAGAAAUGUGAUGUACUCUAAAUCAGUGCUUCUCGAAAUUUAAUGUGUAUACAAAUCACCUGAGGAUGUUGUUACCAUGCCAAUUUUGACUUGGAACCUCUGAGGUAGAGGCCUGAGAUUCUGCAUUUUUAGCAAGGUCCCAGGUGAUGCCUAUGUUGCCAUCCUCAGACCACACUUUGGCAAGGCUCGAAAUGUCUUCUUGGAUAUUCAUGAUCCUCAUUAGACUAUUAAGGGCUCUGCAGUAAAGUUUAGCUUAUCUAACCCAGCAUUCAUCAAACUCAUUGGUACCCAGAAACCCUUUUUUCCCCAUGGUACCUAUUAAUCUCUCACACUCAGGGUACCAUGAAAGCCAAUUUGGGAAAUGCUAAUCAAGCUAAUACUACUCUACCUGGAGUGACUUUGCAUCAUCUGAGAAAUGUACAUUUUGGGUCAUGGCCAUAGACCUCAUCUACAGCUAGUUAAUAGCUCUGCAGAGACAUAGGGAUGCGAGGGCUGUGAAUUGCCAUUGGUUUUCAAAGACUCCAAGCUCAAUGACAGCAAAAUAUCAUAAAACUCUACUUACUAUCCUGCCACAUUCACUACUUUCCAAAGUGCUUUACAACCUUAAUGUGGCUUGAACUGAAAUGAAAGCAGGGAAAAAAGGAAGAGAUUUGGAGCAGAGAGGAGCCUGGCAUUUUCAAAGGAGGUAUGAAACAAGACAAUGAGCAAAUGAUACUGAAAUUAGACAGGAGGUAAGGGACUCAGGUUAGCUGGGGUGAGGAGAAAGAAGGAGGCAUCAGCAAGGGAUGUCAGUGGGCAGGGUGUCUCGGGGGUGUAAUGAGGAGAGAACAAUUACUCUGUAAAGUCCUACUCUAUCAAAUGAGGAGGAAAAAAACCACGAAGGGAAGAGUCAUCUUGUUUACCUGGUCUCCACCUAUACAGGUUUCAGCUACUGUAUUUGUUUUGCUGUACAAAUUGUUUGGCCAGGAGGCCCUCUCUGGGCAGAUUCCUUAUUCUCAUUGCAUUGGCUGCCAGAUGGAAAGGGUCUGGGUUGUCAGUUCUUCAGGAGGGCAUUUGCUCAUGCCCAUGGUGGCCCGCCACUCCAGCCCCUAUCCAGUUAGCAGAUGGGUCCGAGAGAGCUCUCCGAUUAUCAGAAGCCAGUGGCAGACAGUGCUCCCAAAAGUGUAAAAAGGGAAAGACAGAAACCUCUUUGUAGGCAGAGCCCCUAAUACGAGAGGUAGUACAACACAGAAGGUUCUGGUGUCAGACAGAGGUCAUAUCCCAGCUCUGCUACUCACUAGCUGUGAGGUCAUGGGGUAAUUAACCAUUUGAAACCUCAGUCUUCUCUUCUCUAAAAUAGGGCUAAGAAUAGUAUCUAUCUCAUAGCAACAUGGUGAGGAAUGAUUAAUGUAAUCCCUGGAAGAGGUUUAGGACCAUACCUGACAUAUAAUAAGAACUCAGUAAUUACUAAUGGCUAUUAAUACUAUUUAUUAUUAUUAAAAGCAUUUUAGUACAGUGCUUAGCACAAAGAAAGUGCUUCACAAAUGACAGCUGAUAUGAUGACAUUAUGACAACAAGCACGACAACAGUGAUGAUGUUGCUGUUAUUGAUGAUAAGGGAGCUUGCUUUCCCUCAGCUCUGCUUUGGAGGUUGGCAUCAGGAGAUGAUGUAAUUUGAAAGGUUCUGGGGUCAGAUAGUCGUGGGUUUCAAUCCUGACUCUACUACCCAAUAGUAGGUGGUCAGUUUUCGCAGUUGUAAAAUGCAGAUGAUAACACCAUCUACCUCACCGCUGUGAGGAUGAAAUGAGAUGAUGUAUGUGAGGUAGCAAAGCCCAGUGCUUGGUGCACUGUAAACACCAAAAGCUAUCAACCAGCUAGCUAGUCAUCCAGCAUCUGAGAACUUGAGAGAGCUCCAGGAAGGAAAGUUUCAGGAGUAAAAGUGCCCUCACAGUCCAAUUUGAAAAUCAUGGACAGGCCCAUGAAAGGCUUAUGUACAUACCACACACCUUUCCACACGUUACCAUUUCACACACACAGGGAAAUAACGUAUUCAGGCCCACAAAAAGAAACCCACCUGUUUUCAGAAGAGACUUUCCAGUGUACAGAAGUUCUUGAUUCAGCACAAGCAUUCUUAUACACCAAUAACAGACAAACAGAGAGCC